rnacentral:rRNA from 1 species
GACGAAGGAUGCAAGCGUUAUCCGGAUUCAUUGGGUUUAAAGGGAGCGUAGGUGGCCUUAUAAGUCAGAAGUGAAAGCCCCGAGCUUAACUUGGGAAGUGCUUUUGAUACUGCAGAGCUUGAAUGUGGGAGAGGGUAGUGGAAUUCCAGGUGUAGUGGUGAAAUACGUAGAUAUCGGGAGGAACACCAGUGGCGAAGGCGGCUCUCUGGGGUAUUUCUGACGCUGAGGCACGAAAGCCAGGGGAGCGAACGGG